AUUCCAGCUCCAAUAGCGUAUAUUAAAGUUGUUGCAGUUAAAAAGCUCGUAGUUGGAUUUCUGGUGGGAGCGGUCGGUGCGGUCCUCAGGAUUGCUACUCGUACCGUCUCUCGCCAUCCUUGGGUCGAUCCUGUCUGGCAUUAAGUUGUCGGGCAGGGGAUGCCCAUCGUUUACUGUGAAAAAAUUAGAGUGUUCAAAGCAGGCUUAUGCCGUUGAAUAUAUUAGCAUGGAAUAAUAAGAUAGGACUUUGGUACUAUUUUGUUGGUUUGCGCACCAAAGUAAUGAUUAAUAGGGAUAGUUGGGGGCAUUAGUACUUUGCUGUCAGAGGUGAAAUUCUCGGAUUUGCAAAAGACUAACUUAUGCGAAAGCAUUUGCCAAGGAUGUUUUCAUCA
rnacentral:rRNA from 1 species